rnacentral:rRNA from 1 species
GACAGAGGUCCCAAGCGUUAGGCGGAAUCACUGGGCUUAAAGCGUGUGUAGGCGGAUGUCUAAGUACCUUGUGAAAUCCCACGGCUCAACCGUGGAACUGCUUGGUAUACUGGAUGUCUUGAGCCAUCUAGGGGCUACUGGAACAAAUGGUGGAGCGGUGAAAUGCGUAGAUAUCAUUUGGAACGCCAAUGGUGAAAACAAGUAGCUGGGGAUGUGCUGACGCUGGAGACACGAAAGCCAGGGGAGCAAACGGG